AUUGAACGCUGGCGGAAUGCUUUACACAUGCAAGUCGAACGGCAGCACGGACUUCGGUCUGGUGGCGAGUGGCGAACGGGUGAGUAAUACAUCGGAACGUGCCCAGUCGUGGGGGAUAACGUAGCGAAAGCUACGCUAAUACCGCAUACGAUCUACGGAUGAAAGCGGGGGAUCGCAAGACCUCGCGCGAUUGGAGCGGCCGAUGGCAGAUUAGGUAGUUGGUAGGGUAAAGGCCUACCAAGCCGACGAUCUGUAGCUGGUCUGAGAGGAUGAUCAGCCACACUGGGACUGAGACACGGCCCAGACUCCUACGGGAGGCAGCAGUGGGGAAUUUUGGACAAUGGGCGCAAGCCUGAUCCAGCCAUUCCGCGUGCAGGAUGAAGGCCUUCGGGUUGUAAACUGCUUUUGUACAGAACGAAAAGGCUCUGGUUAAUACCUGGGGCUCAUGACGGUACUGUAAGAAUAAGCACCGGCUAACUACGUGCCAGCCGCCGCGGUAA
rnacentral:rRNA from 1 species